CCUACGGGCGGCAGCAGUGGGGAAUAUUGCUCAAUGGGGGAAACCCUGAAGCAGCAACGCCGCGUGAAGGAAGAAGGGUUUCGGAUUGUAAACUCCUAUUGUUAGGGAAGAUAAUGACGGUAUCUAACGAAUAAGCACCGGCUAACUACGUGCCAGCAGCCGCGGUAAUACGAAGGGUGCAAGCGUUACUCGGAAUCACUGGGCGUAAAGGGAGCGUAGGCGGGAGAGCAAGUCAGAUGUGAAAUCCUAGGGCUUAACCAUGGAACUGCAUUUGAAACUGUUAGUCUAGAGUACAGGAGAGGUAGGUGGAAUUCCUGGUGUAGGGGUAAAAUGCGUAGAUAUCAGGAGGAACACUCGUGGCGAAGGCGACCUGCUAGAACGUAACUGACGCUGAGGCGCGAAAGCGUGGGGAGCAAACAGGAUUAGAUACCCCAGUAGUC
rnacentral:rRNA from 1 species